GGAGAGAGUGAAAAAACUAUUUGUUUGUCUUGUCUAAUUUAAUUUACGUUAUUUAUCAAACAGACAGGUUAUUUGGGAAGCCAGAUGGACCCAGGCUAAAAUCAUCUGUAUUUCCAACGCGUGAAAAAUGAUGUCAGAGUGGACACCUGAAGAGAGGCGCGCUGUGUGUGGUGGGUGCUCAGCACACAAACUGAACCUCAGCUGCCCCGGAUCCCCCAUCAGCUGUCCCAGAGCCAAUCACAGUUUAUGGCCAACUCCAGCACUGCUCCUCCACGCAGCAGAAACCUGAACCGGCUGUAAUGAAAGAAAACGAUGUUGGGGAUCGAUCGCAAGAGAUUCGCUUCAUUUUUAAGCUCGUGUUUCUGCCCUGCUCCUCAAGGCUGCUUUCAUACAACCCUCCUCCGCUGCUCCCCCUGCGGUGUCCCAUUGAUCACCAAUAGCUGCUGCUGCUCCUGCAGGCGCUGAUGGAGGAGCAGCCCCAGAUGCCCCCGGAGGGCGAUGUCCUCCUGCCCCAAAUCCGCAGUGCCCGAGGAGGGGCUGGGAGCCCUCUGGGCUAUUCCAGGUGGUAAUUAAUGAGGGGGGGCCCCCAAGGGAGGUUCCCUGGUGCCCGCAGCCCUGCUGUGCCCCCAAUUUCCAGCCCCCCCGGUCAGCUGUGACAGGUUUCUGUGCAGAAAGUGUAAUGAACGGCUGAGGCGCUCAAGAUAUUAAUAGGUGGUAUUUCCACGUUCCCAUUUUACAUUAAGCCCGAAGGAGGGCUCUGAACACCCCCCGACCCUUCGCAAUUAAAUAUCAGCUUAGAAAAGCACUUUUCCCUUCCUUCCUUCGCUCCCACUGCCCGGCCCAACGCUGUGGGGUGCUGCCCAGCUGCAGGAUGCUCGGGGGCUGGGGGGGCACAUUGGAUGCUCGGGGUCCCACACCCCCAUUCCCUGGGCAGGCACAGAGCAGGCGCUGCUUUGGCACUCCCCCACACCCCCCCUCCCCUUCCCCGGGUCGCUAUGAAUAAAUCAUUGUUUUAUUAAAGAGAAGCAGCUGCUUUUUUCCUUCCUUAUUUUUUUUCUUCUUCUCUCGGACCCUCCGUCCCCAUCCGUGCAGCCCCCUUGGCACAUGCUUGAACGCCAAAAAGCCCCAUUGACGGCCCCCGGAGCAUAGCAAUUGAUACACACAGAUCCCCAAAUCCUAUUCAGGGCCCGCUUUUCUGCACGAGCAGCCUCCAAACAGCUCAUUCACUGCUCUUUUUGUCGCCGGGGUUAAGUGGUUAAGUGUGUGGGGAUCCCAUAAAAG
ensembl:lncRNA